AUGUGGAGACCUCAGUACCCAGCAGGGUGGCACGGGGCUCGGGGAGGGGUUUGGCCACCCACAGCCCCCUGGCCUCAGCCCCCGCUCGGUGGUGGCACGGUGUGGGCCUCCUGUGUGCCAGGGCAGGGCACGGGCAGACUGAGGGGAGCCGUGGCACACAGCAGGGCACACGGCAUGGCGGGCACACAGCAUGGCGGGCACACAGCGUGGAGGGCACACAACAUGGCGGGCACCUCACUGGGCAGCGCAGCACACACCCUCCCUUCCCCAGAUGGCUUUUUUUUUUUGAGGUGUUUUUAUUGUUGUUGUUCACGUUUUUUGAUGUUUUAUUAUUAUUAUUACCAUUAUCUUUAUUAUUAUUAUUAUUACUGCUAUCGCCGAGCAGCCCCACAGGGAAUCGCCACAUCCCCACGGCCGGCCACCAACCACCCCGUGCCCCUCCCCCCCGCCUUGCCGCUCCCCUCCCCUCCCCCUCCCCCCGAGCGGCGCGGCGGCCGCCCCUCCUCCCUCCCCUCCCCCUCCCUUCCCCUCCGCCCUUCCCCUCCCUCCCCUCCCCCUCCCCGCGCGGCCCCGCGGGGUCACGUGCCCCCUCCCCCUCUCCUCCCCCCCCCCGCCCUCCCCCUUCCCAUCCCCCCGGCGGGGCGGGGGAGGGGCAGCGCAGCCGCUCUGCGCGGCGGGGUCAGCGGCGGGUACCGACAACCCUGUAAGAGGCGGGCACUGCCCGCACGGCCCCGGCGCCGCCUCCAUUUUGUGUCCCCGGUGUCCCCAGCCCCCACCCCGCCCCCGGCCGCGGCUGGGCUGGGGGAGCGGGUUGGGGGGUCAAGGGAAAACAUCCAAAUGCUCAGCCUCACUCUGCAACGGGGGCAGCCUCAGGCAUUUUGGGGAGGGGGCGACCAUGCUUGGGUCCCCUCAGCAGUGUUACUGCAGGGCGCAGAAAAGCCCUGUGCAGCCCCACUGAGCUCCCCUGAAAUCCAUCAGUUGUCAUCAUUCAGUCAUUUCUAA
rnacentral:lncRNA from 1 species